rnacentral:lncRNA from 1 species
CCUUCCUCGAAACUAAUUUUUUACAAUUAUUUUAACUGUUCCAUUUUCUCUAUUUGUUAUGUACUUCACUGUGUAUACAAUUCUAUACUGAUUACUCUGCAAUCACAUUCCCUCCAUUUAAAUAUUUUCCAGCAUUUGGACUUCAGCCUUCCAACUCUGUAUGCUGUGCUGUAGCAUCGACCAUCAUGUCCCCAAACCGUAUAUGAAACUCAGUCUUCUUUCCCGAGAAAUGCGCUUAAACCCCAUUUAUCCAAUCACCUACUUAUAUAAUUCCCUACACCAAGCAAUCUCCAAC